rnacentral:rRNA from 1 species
AUUUUUUUUUUAAUUGGAAGGUUGUAUGAAUGGGUAAACGAAGUGGAGACUUUUACAAGCUUUAGGUGUGAAUUUUCCUUCCAGGUUAGAAGGCUUGGUGUUUCUAAGGGGACGAUAAGACCCUUAAAAUUUUUUCAAAUUUUUGAUUUGACUGGGGCGGUCGCAUAAAAUAUGCUUAUGCAUAUUGUACGUGUGUGCGGUGUUAAUUGGCUUUUUAAAGUUUAGGUAAAUUACUUAAGGGAUAACAGCGUAAUACUCUUGUAGAGUUCAUAUCGAUAAGGGUGUUUACGACCUCGAUGUUGAAUUAAAGUAAUCCUUUAGGGUAAAAGUUAAAGGAUAAGGUCUGUUCGACCUUUUAAUAUUUA